GACGAACGCUGGCGGCGUGCUUAACACAUGCAAGUCGAACGAUGAAGCUGGAGCUUGCUCCGGUGGAUUAGUGGCGAACGGGUGAGUAACACGUGAGAAAUCUGCCCUUCACUCUGGGAUAACUGCGGGAAACUGUAGCUAAUACCGGAUACUUUCCCCGGUGGGCAUCCACUAGGGAAGAAAGAAUUUCGGUGAAGGAUGAUCUCGCGGCCUAUCAGCUAGUUGGUGAGGUAAUGGCUCACCAAGGCGACGACGGGUAGCCGGCCUGAGAGGGUGACCGGCCACACUGGGACUGAGACACGGCCCAGACUCCCACGGGAGGCAGCAGUGGGGAAUAUUGCACAAUGGGCGAAAGCCUGAUGCAGCAACGCCGCGUGAGGGAUGAAGGCCUUCGGGUUGUAAACCUCUUUUAGCAGGGAAGAAGCGAAAGUGACGGUACCUGCAGAAAAAGCACCGGCUAACUACGUGCCAGCCGCCGCGGUAA
rnacentral:rRNA from 1 species